rnacentral:rRNA from 1 species
GGAAUUUUCCGCAAUGGGCGAAAGCCUGACGGAGCAACGCCGCGUGAGGGAUGAAGGCCUCUGGGCUGUAAACCUCUUUUUUCAAGGAAGAAGAUCUGACGGUACUUGAAGAAUAAGCCACGGCUAAUUCCGUGCCAGCAGCCGCGGUAAUACGGGAGUGGCAAGCGUUAUCCGGAAUUAUUGGGCGUAAAGCGUCCGCAGGCGGCCUUGUAAGUCUGUUGUUAAAGCGUGGAGCUUAACUCCAUUUGAGCAAUGGAAACUGCAAGGCUUGAGUGUGGUAGGGGCAGAGGGAAUUCCCGGUGUAGCGGUGAAAUGCGUAGAUAUCGGGAAGAACACCAGUGGCGAAGGCGCUCUGCUGGGCCAUAACUGACGCUCAUGGACGAAAGCCAGGGGAGCGAAAGGGAUUAGAUACCCCUGUAGUC